GACGAACGCUGGCGGCGUGCUUAACACAUGCAAGUCGAACGGAAAGGCCAGUGCUUGCACUGGUACUCGAGUGGCGAACGGGUGAGUAACACGUGGGUGAUCUGCCUUGCACUCUGGGAUAAGCUUGGGAAACUGGGUCUAAUACCGGAUAUGAACUGCCUUUAGUGUGGUGGUUGGAAAGUUUUUUCGGUGCAAGAUGAGCUCGCGGCCUUUCAGCUUGUUGGUGGGGUAAUGGCCUACCAAGGCGUCGACGGGUAGCCGGCCUGAGAGGGUGUACGGCCACAUUGGGACUGAGAUACGGCCCAGACUCCUACGGGAGGCAGCAGUGGGGAAUAUUGCACAAUGGGCGGAAGCCUGAUGCAGCGACGCCGCGUGGGGGAUGACGGCCUUCGGGUUGUAAACUCCUUUCGACAGGGACGAAGCGUAAGUGACGGUACCUGUAUAAGAAGCACCGGCUAACUACGUG
rnacentral:rRNA from 1 species